rnacentral:rRNA from 1 species
GUUUGAUCAUGGCUCAGGAUGAACGCUAGCGGCAGGCCUAACACAUGCAAGUCGAGGGGCAGCACGGGUAGCAAUACUUGGUGGCGACCGGCGCACGGGUGAGUAACGCGUAUGCAACCUACCCUAUACAGGGGGAUAGCUCAGUGAAAACUGAAUUAAUACCCCAUAAAGCAGGGGUACCGCAUGGUACUAUUUGCUAAAGAUUUAUCGGUAUAGGAUGGGCAUGCGUGCCAUUAGCUAGUUGGUAGGGUAACGGCCUACCAAGGCGACGAUGGUUAGGGGGUCUGAGAGGAUGGUCCCCCACACUGGUACUGAGACACGGACCAGACUCCUACGGGAGGCAGCAGUGAGGAAUAUUGGUCAAUGGGCGAGAGCCUGAACCAGCCAUGCCGCGUGCAGGAAGACGGCCCUAAGGGUUGUAAACUGCUUUUAUACGGGGGUAAUUUUCGGUUUGCGAACCGAAUUGAAAGUACUGUAAGAAUAAGCGUCGGCUAACUACGUGCCAGCAGCCGCGGUAAUACGUAGGACGCGAGCGUUAUCCGGAUUUAUUGGGUUUAAAGGGUGCGUAGGCGGACCUAUAAGUCAGUGGUGAAAGACUGUUGCUUAACGAUAGCAUUGCCAUUGAUACUGUAGGUCUUGAGUACAGUUGAGGUAGGCGGAAUGUGUAGUGUAGCGGUGAAAUGCUUAGAUAUUACACAGAACACCGAUUGCGGAGGCAGCUUACUAAGCUGUAACUGACGCUGAUGCACGAAAGCGUGGGGAUCAAACAGGAUUAGAUACCCUGGUAGUCCACGCUGUAAACGAUGAUCACUGGUUGUUAGCGAUACACAGUUAGCGACUGAGCGAAAGCAUUAAGUGAUCCACCUGGGGAGUACGUCGG